ACAAAUUAAAAUUUUUCAAUAUAUAUACGUUUCUACAAUAUUGGAGUUGGACCCAUUGAAAAGAGAAAGCACAUAAUAUUCCAAAGCUUACCAAGAUAUCAAGAUGGCACAUAAUAUUCCAUAAAUUAUGGUUCCUGUUUCAAAAUAUAGUACAAAGAGCCUCAAGAUUUUCUCCUUCAGGGAAGAUAUUGGGUCAAACAAAAUUUUAAGCACUAAUGUAAACGAAGAUUCAUUGGAGAAUGCAAAGAGCCAUUGGGACUGAAAAAUAAAAUUUGGAGGAUUCAUUGCUCUAGCUAGCUCUUGACUUCUCAAGGUUUUACUAAAUUUUCGACAGUACAAGAAAGAAGGCUAACCCUUUUAUAAACUCAAGAGGUUGAGGAUAGAGUUUUGAUAGGAAAGGUUCUUCAUUUGCUAUCCACAAGCCACAAAUCCUCUGUAUAGUUAAUAGCAAUCAGCACAACUACCCAUAUUUGAUCAGAAGGUGCUACAAGGUUUUUCUUGAUUAUUGAAAAUUAAUUCAUUCCUGGAUGUCGUAGCACAAACCAUCAUUUUUCUCAAUUUCAAAAUUACAUCUGAUCAUAAAUAAUCUAGCCCUGCUGAAGAUGACAGUUGUUUCUUCAAGGGAAAAUCAAUUGGAGGAUGUUGCAUGCCAUGAUAUGAGUAUUGAUCUCUCUUUCUGUUCUAGUUCCUUGCUGAAUCUGUUAAGGAGGCUACCAAUUUUGUUUCACUGUUUCCUUCUCUGCAGGGUCCAUGGGCUUGAGCUUUAACACACAAAUUGGGAAGGGACUUGAGCCAUUUUUGUUUAGGCUCCCUCUAUAAUCAUAAGGCCUACGUUUCUCAAUCAAUGAAGAGGGGAAACUGGCCAGGUCCACAUGUCGCUAAACAUGGAUGUCUUAACAUUGGGCAAAGCCAUUUUAGUUUUAGUUCCCUACUUAAGAAUUUUAAGCCCUUUAUUUUUCUUGGUCCCAAACAAUUUGAAAUUCAACUCAACAUGCCGCAACGUGUUUCCUUUAUUGAGCAAAAGUUAAUGAAUUUUUUUCCCCAAAAAGGCCUCAAGAUUUGUAAACUCUCUGCAACUUAUGCACAUAAGUCAGUAUGAUCCUCUGCCCUAUGCUAUCCAAGAAAAAGCAGAGAAUCUAGAAAUCAAAUGUACUUUCAAUACUGACCCCAAAUGAAGACAUGCUUGCUUCUCUUCUUUAAUUGUGAAUAUUUAU
rnacentral:misc_RNA from 1 species